GGGGCCGUAAUGGUUUCGACAGGUGUGUGGAACGAAGAUAAGCGAGCCGUGGUGGUGAUCCACGUAAAAAGUACCCGUUAAAAAGAAACGCUAAAACAAACAACAACUUCGCACUGGCUGCAUAGUUCAGCCCCGCGCGUCGGCCUCAGGUCACCUGCAGCCUGAGAAUCCGGCGUCGACCAUGCAGGGACCUUAUGCGUGAGCUCCCGGUAGCGCAUGAGUAUCUACGGGAUAGCGUGGCCUUGAGUUUGCCGUAUUGGCGAUAGGCGCGCGAAAUCACAGCAAGCGGCUGCGCUCGGAGAAAGUCUUCCGGAAGUACUCUUGGACGCGAGUUCGACUCUCGCCGGCUCCACCA
rnacentral:tmRNA from 1 species